ACACAAAUAACAUGCAAGUUGUUCCACACAAUUAUUCAAAUUGGCAUCUAUCACACCAGGAUUUAUACAUCAUCUGUUAGUUCCAGUAAUAAUCAUGAUCAAAGCACGGUAGACUUGCUUUUGAGAAGUCUUCACGAUAGUACUCAACUAAUUCAAUGGCUACCACUUAUGAACUACCCAGCCAUCAGAUUGGAACAGCCUUUCAAAAUAAGUGUUACAACCAUAGGUAUGUUAUUUUUCUAAAACAUUCAUUAUG
rnacentral:sRNA from 1 species